UGCAGCCUACGGGGGGCAGCAGUGGGGAAUAUUGGGCAAUGGGCGCAAGCCUGACCCAGCAACGCCGCGUGAAGGAAGAAGGCUUUCGGGUUGUAAACUUCUUUUGUCAGGGACGAAGCAAGUGACGGUACCUGACGAAUAAGCCACGGCUAACUACGUGCCAGCAGCCGCGGUAAUACGUAGGUGGCAAGCGUUAUCCGGAUUUACUGGGUGUAAAGGGCGUGUAGGCGGGACUGCAAGUCAGAUGUGAAAACCACGGGCUCAACCUGUGGCCUGCAUUUGAAAAUGGAGUUCUU
rnacentral:rRNA from 1 species